UGCGCUCCGCGCGCUCGCUCAGUUUCUGGCUGCCUCUCGUAGAGAGCAGACGUGUGUUCUCCGCGCUCGCUCAGUUUCUGCCUGGAAGUUGCCGCGGGGGAAAAGGUGCACUACCUUUCAAGAAUAGGGGGUGCUUCCCCGAAAGACUGUUUAAGGCAUGUCAUGCGGCGGUGCAUGAAGGAUGACCUUGCGCAGCACUUCUGCCUCACUGGAAGAAAAGGCAAGCUCCCAUUUCUGGGGCUACGACUUCUGGAAGUGAUCACUGAUGCCAUGCUCAGAACCUUCCCAGACAUCACAGAAGCGGCUUUCAAGUCCCAGGUGUCUGACUGGUUGAGCACUGCCACAACAUGACCGCAACGACUGCCAGUGCCUCGCCCCUCAUUACCUGCAGCUAACGACUGCCAGUGUA